UGUGAAUGUCCUGCUUUGUGGAUGGGGCCGUUUCGUUUACUAUGGUUGGGGCCUCAGGUAUUACUAUUCCCGCCGUGGGUGGCGUUGGAGUAGCCUCUAGCUGUGUAGCUGCCAUACCUCUCGUGCAUGCAGAGGCCGUCAGCAUCUGGCCGAUGUCCUGCCCGUCUUUUGGGGUAGGUGGAGUGGGCUUUUUGUGUCCCAUGUCUAGUUCUUUGGGGGUCUGCUGGCUGUUUGCCGUAUGCAAGUUACCUCCAGUAUGCAG